GAGCUUGUGGUGUAAUGGAUAUCGCGUUGGUCUACGGAGCCGAAGAUUACGGGUUCGAAUCCCGUCAAGCUUG
rnacentral:tRNA from 1 species